GAUGAAGAACGUAGCGAAAUGCGAUAAGUAAUGUGAAUUGCAGAAUUCAGUGAAUCAUCGAAUCUUUGAACGCGCAUUGCGCCCGCCAGUAUUCUGGCGGGCAUGCCUGUUCGAGCGUCAUUUCAACCAUCAAGCCCCAGGCUUGCGUUGGGGACCUGCGGCUGCCGCAGGCCCUGAAAACCAGUGGCGGGCUCGCUGUCACACCGGGCGUAGUAGAUUUUAUCUCGCUCAGGGCGUGCUGCGGGUUCCGGCCGUUAAAAAGCCUUUUUUACCCAAGGUUGACCUCGGAUCAGGUAGGAAGACCCGCUGAACUUAAGCAUAUCAAUAAGCGGAGGA
rnacentral:misc_RNA from 1 species